GACGAACGCUGGCGGCGUGCUUAACACAUGCCAGUCGAACGAAGAGCGAUGGAAGCUUGCUUCUAUCAAUCUUAGUGGCGAACGGGUGAGUAACGCGUAAUCAACCUGCCCUUCAGAGGGGGACAACAGUUGGAAACGACUGCUAAUACCGCAUACGAUCUAAUCUCGGCAUCGAGGAUAGAUGAAAGGUGGCCUCUACAUGUAAGCUAUCACUGAAGGAGGGGAUUGCGUCUGAUUAGCUAGUUGGAGGGGUAACGGCCCACCAAGGCGAUGAUCAGUAGCCGGUCUGAGAGGAUGAACGGCCACAUUGGGACUGAGACACGGCCCAGACUCCUACGGGAGGCAGCAGUGGGGAAUCUUCCGCAAUGGACGAAAGGCUGACGGAGCAACGCCGUGGGAGCGAUGACGGCCUUCGGGUUGUAAAGCUCUGUUAAUCGGGACGAAAGGCCUUCUUGCGAAUAGUGAGAAGGAUUGACGGUACCGGAAGAGAAAGCCACGGCUAACUACGUG
rnacentral:rRNA from 1 species